AAAACUUAAGAAAGAAUAUUGAUUCUAUUAAUUU
rnacentral:tRNA from 1 species